rnacentral:rRNA from 1 species
GACGAACCGAGCGAACGUUAUUCGGAUUCACUGGGCUUAAAGGGUGCGUAGGCGGGCUGUCAAGUCUGGGGUGAAAUCCCACGGCUCAACCGUGGAACUGCCUUAGAUACUGAUGGUCUCGAGGGAGGUAGGGGCAUGUGGAACUUCCGGUGGAGCGGUGAAAUGCGUUGAUAUCGGAAGGAACGCCGGUGGCGAAAGCGACGUGCUGGACCUCUUCUGACGCUGAGGCGCGAAAGCUAGGGGAGCGAACGGG